AGAGUUUGAUCCUGGCUCAGAACGAACGCUAGCAGUGUGGAUUAGGCAUGCAAGUCGUGCGCGAAAGUCUUCGGACGAGUAAAGCGGCGAAAGGGUGAGUAACACGUAAUCAACGUACCCCUCAGAUCGGAAUAACCACUGGAAACGGUGGAUAAUGCCGGAUGGUCCUAAGGCGAGACAUCUCGUCGAUGGUAAACGGUGGCUUCGGCUGCUGUUGAGGGAGCGGGUUGCGGCCUAUCAGCUUGUUGGUGGGGUAAUGGCCCACCAAGGCAAUGACGGGUAGCGGGUCUGAGAGGAUGAUCCGUCACACUGGGACUGAGACACUGCCCAGACUCCUACGGGAGGCUGCAGUCGAGAAUCUUCCACAAUGGGCGAAAGCCUGAUGGAGCGACACUGCGUGCAGGAUGAAGGCCUUAGGGUUGUAAACUGCUGUCACGCUAUAGGAACCCGUAGUCGUUAAUAGCGGCUACGCUGACCAAAGCGAGAGGAAGUGCCGGCUAACUUCGUGCCAGCAGCCGCGGUAAUACGAAGGGCGCAAGCGUUGUUCGGAAUCACUGGGCAUAAAGAGCACGUAGGCGGCCUGCUAAGUCGGAUGUGAAAGCCCACGGCUCAACCGUGGAACUGCAUUCGAUACUGGCGGGCUUGAGGACAGGAGGGGUAAAUGGAACUCCAGGUGGAACGGUGAAAUGUGUAGAUAUC
rnacentral:rRNA from 1 species